GUUUACUAGAUUUUUCUUCAACUUUCAACCACAUCCCAUGGUCAUCCCCAGUGGAUGGAGCUGGAAGUCAGUUGCUCAGUAGAAUUGAGGUAACUGAGCCACUGAGACACCACAUGACAUGUGGUUGAAAGGUCUUGAAAAAGCAAAUGCACGGACAGUGUUCUUCCUCCAUCUGUUCUAUUGUCUCAGUGUUCUCUGGGAUGAGGAGCGGAUGCACCACCAAAGGAGAUGCAGGAAAUACUCUUGGCCCAUAACAACACAGCCAACAACUUCUUCUAGGCUGUUACACAGUGGCUUCAGACACAAAUGCAGCUCAAGACUAUGUGACUACACGGUAGCGUGCUCGAUGUGGUGGAACAUUCGCAGAGUUAUACAAGGCCCAUCAGGAACAGGAAGGUCUUACGGGUGUCGAUGUCAAGGUCUUUGUCGUCUUUAACAUGACUCCACACAAACAGCAGCAGCCCUGCUCAAGACGGCCUGUCAGACGCACUCCAGAAAUAGACAUUCUGGUCGAGCAUUAAAAUUUACAAGGUAAAGCUAUAUAUUUUUAAUCAUUCUUCACGAACGGAUAAAAAUAAAAGCGAGUCUUGUAAAGGUGGUAGAGGUAUAUGAUGCUAAAUAAGGAGAGGUGUGUGUAAAUAUGGAAGGAGUUUUAUGUUGGUGUGUAUAACAGUAUAAAUGUGUGCUUUUGUGGGAUAAUAUUAUAAAAAGGGAUGGAUGUUGUUGACCCACAGCGUUUCACUGCUGCACCACAGUUGUAAAAAAGUCUUGUGCCAUAUUCACAUUAAUUCUGUCAGGCGUACGGGGGGAAAAGCAGUGAAUUCUUGUGGUAUAUAUUAAACAACAAACCUAUAGUUAAGAAGAUCCCAAUUAAACCUGUUAACAUCAUUAGAAUUUAUGACAAAGUUCAAAAGGAAAUCGCUUCCCAAGCAAUUUAAGGUUUGUCAGAAUUUGCCUUCAGGCUCCCAAAACCUCUAAAUUGCUUCACUCUCAAAUAUUCGAGAGAAAAGAAUCCAAGAUCUCAUUAGAGAAACGCAAGUGGUUUUUGGGAAGUGCUGAGCAGCCCAGUUUGGGGCUUUUCAGCUAAAACCAUUUAAACAUUUUAAUCAAUUUCUUUAUGUUGCUCCCCUUUCAUGUGUCAUCAUGUAAUAUAAUUCUUUCUUAAAGUUAAUGUUCCUGAGAAGUGGAAAUGAGUUUUCAGUCCUUACUGUACUGCGAACUGUAUUAUAGUGUAAGGGUGAGAAGUGUGUGUUUUCUUUUUUUUAAUAUGUACACUGCUAGACACACAGAAGCAAUUAAGGAGCAGUAAACACUCAACCAACAUACACAAUAAUUUUUUUGUAAAGUAUUCCCACUGUAAACCUCAUAUUACAUCAUGGAAUAACUAUUCAAACAAUAAAAAGAGAAAAAAUAUAAACAAGAUGUAAAACCUCAUUUGGUGCUUUUCCAAAAUCAAGUAUUAACAGAUCUGAAUAUUUCCUACAUGUUGCUAGAGGUAACAAUGUUUACACACAGCCGGCGCCCAUGGUGAUGUAAACCUUGACCGCGAGGGGCUCAGCGACCCAAUGAAGGCCCUGGGGUUGUGACACGAAAUACUUUUGCUAUUAUUACCCUGUGCAGUCACUCAGUAAGCUAAAAAAGACAUCUAAGCCCACUUUCAACAGCAAGCUUGGACAAAAUCUCGGUCGAGAAUAGAUUCUAAUGUUUCCUUGAAGUGAAAGAAGUUCAAGAACAACAGCCAGCAGCUGUCAUAUUAUAUACUGACCAUUAGUGCGUGCUCGUUUUGUCUCACAGUCCCAAAGGAAAGGGCAUGUCGGGAUAGCAGAGAGUUGCAGGUACUAUGUUACAUAAUAGCAUAUUUCCUUCCAAACCUCUUUCCAUUCAAGAGUAGCCAGAGCCACUAAGACAGACUUUGAGCUGAAUGUAGGGUAGCCUACUGCUACUCUGGCUAUCCUGUCUAAUGUUUUUCUACCAGUUGCCACUUUUCUGCCCCUCUCUGAACGACACACAGGCUGUCCAGCUCCAAAUUCUCCAUAGAAAGCGGGAAAAAAUCUUACUACACAAACAGCACAGGUCUGAACAUGGAAGUUACUUUGUUGCUCUUGCAGAAUUCAUUGGCAUCUUCACCCUUCAUCAUUAUCAAAAUAAUGUAACUCUCUUCUGUUUCCCCUUAUGGCUGAUGAUAGAUGCUUAUUAUUUUCAUGGUCAUCACAGUCUCUGUACUCUAACCGUGGCUUACAUCCCAAAACAGAUCCCCAGAUCAAAAACAAAUUAACUUGUGCACAAACUAAAACAGAGGCAGUAACACAAAGCAGUUUUUGUUCUCCACUGGACCAUGCAUCACUAUGAAGGACAUAUAAUUGACACUUGGUGGGACAAAAGUCAAGCCUCUCCCUCCAGAGCUCUGGGUGCAUGAGUCACUCAUGUCAACUGUCAUAAAAGACAUUUAAACCACUGGCAGCAGUGUACCAGUACGUCCGGUAAUAAUGUGCUGUGCUUUUGGUGUCAAGGGCAAUUUCAAGGCCUGCAGCUC